UACGAAGGCCCCAAGCUUUAUCCGGAAUUACUGGGCGUAAAGCGUCUGUAGGUGGUUUUUUAAGUCUUUCCGUGAAACUUCGGGGCUCAACCCUGAAUUGCGGGAGAAACUGGAAAACUUGAGUGUGGGAGGGGCUAGCAGAACGGUAAGAGUAGGGGUGCAAUCCGUUGAUACUUACCAGAAUACCAAAAGCGAAGGCAGCUAGCUGGAACACUACUGACACUGAGAGACGAAAGCGUGGGGAGCAAAAGGG
rnacentral:misc_RNA from 1 species